rnacentral:lncRNA from 1 species
CCGGUCUCAUCGGCCUCGGCCGCCACCCCAUCUCUUUCGUCCAACAAACCGCCUCAAAGUACAACAAAAUCUUCUCCUACUGCCUCCCUUCCACCUCUAGCUCCACCGGCCACCUCACCUUUGGCGGCGGCGCCUAUCGCAAGCUCCUCUACACCCCAUUCACCACCAUUUCCCGCGGUUCCUCCUUCUACGGUCUCGACAUCGUUUCCAUCACUGUCUCCGGUGUCAAACUCUCUCUCACUCCCUCCCUCUUUUCGAGCGGCGGUGCCAUCAUCGACUCCGGCACCGUCAUCACGCGCCUCCCCCCCACUGCCUACGCCGCUCUCCGCUCAUCCUUCCGGCAGGGCAUGUCCAAGUACCCCUCUGCCCCUGAGCUCUCCAUACUCGACACGUGUUACGAUCUCAGCGCGUACACGGUGAUUUCCAUUCCCAAGGUAAACUUUGUGUUUGGUGGCUCUGUGACAGUGGA